GCCCUCUUGGCCAAGCGGUAAGGCGUGUCACUUGUACAAGUCACGUGACACCACGUGCACAUAAAUGACAAGAUCAGCUGUUCGAUCCAGCUAGGGGGCA